rnacentral:rRNA from 1 species
UACGAAGGGUGCAGACGUUGCUCGGAAUUAUUGGGCGUAAAGCGCACGUAUGCGGCUUAGCAAGUCGGAUGUGAAAUCCCUCGGCUCAACCAAGGAAGUGCAUCCGAAACUGCUGAGCUUGAGUACGAAAGAGGAUCGCGGAAUUCCCGGUGUAGAGGUGAAAUUCGUAGAUAUCGGGAGGAACACCAGUGGCGAAGGCGGCGAUCUGGGUCGAUACUGACGCUGAGGUGCGAAAGCGUGGGGAGCAAACAGG